AUGGCCCCCAGACACCAGUCUUCUCUUCCACCCCAAGUGAAGAAACUGAAGAAAGCCAGGCUGACUGCUGCCUCCAGGCCAGAUGAGGCAUCUGCUUCUUCAAACUUGCCGAAGGAAGAAAAAGAACAGCAAGAAGCAAUUGAACAUAUUGAUGAAGUAGAAAAUGAAAUAGACAGACUUAAUGAACAAGCCAGUGAGGAGAUUUUGAAAGUAGAACAGAAAUAUAACAAACUCGGCCAACCAUUCUUUCACAAGAGGUCAGAAUUGAUCGCCAAAAUCCCAAAUUUUGGGGAAACAAAAUUUGUUAACCAUCCACAAGUGUCUGCACUGCUUGGGGAGGAGGAUGAAGAGGCGCUGCAUUAUUUGACAAGAGCUGAAGUGACAGAAUUUGAAAACAUUAAAUCAGGUUACAGAAUAGAUUUUUAUUUUGAUAAAUACCCUUACUUCGAAAAUAAAAUUCUCUGCAAAGAAUUUCUUCUGUAUGAGAGUGGUGAUCCAUCUUCUAAGUCCGCUGAAAUCAAAUGGAAAUCUGGAAAGGAUUUGACUUAACGAUCAAGCCAAACACAGAAUAUAGCCAGCAGGAAGAGACAGCAUGAGGAACCAGAAAGCUUCUUCACCUGGUUUACUGAUCAUUCUGAUGCAGGUGCAGAUGAGUUAGGAGAAGUCAUCAAAGAUUAUAUUUGGCCAAAUCCAUUACAGUACUACUUGGUUCCUGACAUGGAUGAUGAGGAAGUGGAAGGAGAAAAGGAUGAUGACAGUGAUGAAGAGGAAGAAGGAUUGGAAGACACUGAUGAAGAAGGGGAUGAGGAUGAAGGUGAAGAAGAUGAAAAUGAUGAUGAGGGGGUGGAAGGAGAGGAAGAUGAAGGAGCAGAUGACUAAUGGAACACUGAUGGAUUCCAACCAUUUUUAAUUUUCUCCAGUCCCUGGGAGCAAGUUGCAGUCUUUAUUUUUUUUUCCCUCCUCUUGUGCUCAGUCGCCCUGUUUUUGAGGUCUCUUUUCUCCUUUAUACCAUGGUUCACAACUUAUUUGGGGGUGGGGGGGAAAUACCUUGAGCAGAAUUCAGUGGGACAAGAAUCUCUACCCCUUUCUGUUCUAAAUUCAUUUUUAUCCCUUCCUGUCUCAACAAAAACUAUGGAAUCAACACGACCAUGCUCUGUGGGAAAAAAAGAAAAACCUUAUGCUCCCUUAGCUCUGCUGGAAGCUGGAGGGUGCUAGGCCCCUGCGUAGUAGUGCAUAGAAUUCUAGCUUUUUUCCUCCUUUCUCUGUAUAUUGGGCUCAGAGAUUACACUGUGUCUCUAUGUGAAUAUGGACAGUUAGCCUUUACCAACAAGUAUCUGUCUACUUUCUCUUGUUUAAAAAAAGAAAAAAAAAACUUAAAAAAAUAGGGUUAUAGAAGGUCAGCAAAGGGUGGGUUUGAGAUGUUUGGGUGGGUUAAGUGGGCAUUUUGACA